rnacentral:rRNA from 1 species
AACGUAGGUCACAAGCGUUGUCCGGAAUUACUGGGUGUAAAGGGAGCGCAGGCGGGAAGACAAGUUGGAAGUGAAAUCUGUGGGCUCAACCCAUAAACUGCUUUCAAAACUGUUUUUCUUGAGUAGUGCAGAGGUAGGCGGAAUUCCCGGUGUAGCGGUGGAAUGCGUAGAUAUCGGGAGGAACACCAGUGGCGAAGGCGGCCUACUGGGCACCAACUGACGCUGAGGCUCGAAAGUGUGGGUAGCAAACAGG